CAAGGGAGCAGAGUCUGGAGGAAGAGUGGAGAGACACACAGUCCAAGCUGCUUGAGGUCUAGUGUGAAGUUUCCACCAAUCAGUGAUGGUUUGGAGAGACAUGUCAUCUGCUGCUGUUGGAGAUUUCGUUUUCCUGCAGGACUUGGCACACUGCCCACACUGCCAAAUAUACCAGUUGGUCUUAUAUAAUAUUCUAGUUUUCUGAGACACUGAUUUUUGUUUUUUUUAUCAUUUGAUAAUCAUCAACAAUAAACACUUAAAAUAGAUCACUCUGUGUGUAAUACAUCUAUAUAAUAUAUGAGUUUAACAUUUUGAAUUCAAUUACUGAAAUAAAGUAACUUUUUAAUGAAAUUCAAAUUUUUUGAGAUACACCUAUAGUCAUUUUAGCAUAAUAAUAGUUAUAAUAAUGUACUUAAUUUAGCUGUGAUCCUGCUUUGUGAUUCUCUCAUUUUGUGCUUAUUUAUCAAAUCAAAACGGAAUAACCAUGUGAGACUGACAGCUUAUAAUGAUGCCUCCUCACUAAAGGCGCUCAGGCCAGUGAGGUUUGGUUGAUGUUUUUCAGUUGUGACGACGGUGUGCUCCUGUUUUAAACACAUUGGUCAUUAAAAUGCGGUGCUUUACGCACUUCCUAGCCUGUACAGGUGUUUGGGAACGCUACUGCUGUAGGAUUUCUGUAGUACUUCUCUUACCGUGUGCGGUAGCUCUCUCUAACGUGCCUGAAAAGGCUGGGUUUUCUAUAAGUCACUUUGCCCAAGGAUUGUGCUUAAGUGGUCGAGCGAGCAUCACACACAAUGCUCUUUCUACCAGAUAAGAUGAUCUUCACACUGCAAUGCAAAGACAUUUAAAAGAAAAAACAGUCACUAAGCAGUUAUUUGUGAGGAUUUAUAUCCUCUUUAAGCUUUGUAUUUUUUUUUUCUUUUGUAGUUGUGAUUAAAAUUUAUUUGAGUGGACAUGAAAUGUCCUUAUCUGUUGCUGUCUUAUUGCUAUGCUGUCUUAUUUGCUAAAAACCUUUCACAAUUAAAAGGCUUUACUUGGCAUGCA